AAUUCAUAAUAUUCUUGCCAAAAAAUUGUUUGACUAAAUUCCUUGUACAUGUUUGCUAUCUGGAACUGUUUUCUGUACAAAACCUUGCCAAUUCAUUAAAGUUAUAUAAAACAUCUUAUCAAAUUUUACAUAAGAGUUUAAACGAUUUGUACCUAUUAUUCAUUGCCAUGUUCUUUAUCUGCAAACUCCCAUUUGAACAUUUUAGCUUAUGGUGUUUGCAAAAAUGCGAACAAACCAAGGACUUUACUUAGAAAUAAGAGCUAAGAGGGUUCUGACCUUACCUCAAAUGGAUGUUCUUCCUCUGCCCUUUUGCCCUGAAGAUGAAGAACUACUGUUCUCGACCCCUAGGGCAACUUUCUUUGAUGCUGUAGAACAACAAUUGCAUCAGGCCAGUUAUUUCCCAUAAUUAAAUAACUGAUUCCAUCCAAACGGUCAAUCAUGCCGCUCCACAGUAAUAUAGAAAAGGUGCAAUGUUUCUAAUGAAAACAAUGUAUUGUGAAGACUAAUAAAGCCUCAAGAGAACCAUUA